UCCUUUUUCUUUUUCUUUGUUCUUUUUCUUUUUUUUUCUUUUUUCUUUAUUUAAAGGGCUUUUUUCAAAAUUUACUUCUAGUUCUAAAAUUUAUAUCGUCGUUAAAUGUUCGAAACUUUUUUUAACAAGCCUCAAUAAAUCGAGAAUUCCACUUGACAAGUAAACUUUUGCGUCCCGAAGAAAACAAUUUUAAGCGAUGAUCUUCAACAUUAGCAUGAAUGAUAAUGAUGUCAGAAACUUCAAGUUUCAAGGUUUCGAAAAUUAACUAUGUUCGUUCUUUCUAUCAACUGAUCGUUAUCUUCGUGAUAUUGCUUUUCAUGUUCUUGUAUUAAUCCUCGUUCUUGGUUUUCUAAUAUUAUUAUUUUCAAUGUUUUCAACGAGCUUAUUGUUCCAUGAUUAAGAUUAAUUCACAUCUGACGUUUAUGACGAAAUCAGUGGAAUAAAAAAUCUUUCAGAUAUUAUUGAUCAAUCUUACGAGGAAAAAGUUUUCUUUCGGACCUGAGUCAUUUUGCGUUGUAGCAUAAAUUUUCUCUUAUUGAUUUACAACGUAGAACUAAUAAAAUUGAGAGAAAAUGCUUUGACAUAAAUAUUACAGGCUGUUAGAAUAUUCGCAAAAGAAUAUAUCACAAAAAAAGAACGAUUGAACGUUUUUACGAUUUCUACAGAAAUAAUGAAAAUUAAAUAAUAAUUAUUCGUAAUUAAUAAGUAAUUAUUCGUAAAAAAGUAAAUAAUAUUUGUUCUUCAUAAAAUUAAUUCCAUUUAUAAUUACUAUUAUCAUGGUUGACUAAAGCAUCGAACGAUCGAUCAGUCGAAGUAGGGAAUAUCAGCAUUCCAGUUGCGUUCUCACGCGUUAGCUUAUUCAUUAACAAAACCACUCUCGACCGAGUCAGCGCAUAUGUCAUUUGCAUUUCUCGUAUAUGCGCUGCGGGAAGAAAUUACGCGUACGAACACAUGUUGUUAUGUCGCCUAGCAUCUAUUUCUAUGUGUACGUGUACACAUAUAGUAUGUAAUCGAACAUAUAUAUACGUUCAAUGGAUGGAUUAGAUUAAUCGACUUCAGCGUUCGUCCAUCGGAAGGUAAAACGUGACAUCAGAAUUUCUAAGAACGAGACUUCGCUCGCGUUCGCAUUUUGCAUUUACAACGUACGUGGAAUAUCUAUAACCGAAGAGAUAGAUAAUAAUUUCUUACUCCGCGACGAAAGAUUUUCUCGCGCUUCGAAGGCCAUCAAAAUAAAGAUAACUAAGGAUAAUGACGGUCAAAAGUUAUGGAGGAUAUACGCGAAAAUUAUAAAAUUGUGGAUAUUAUCGCGCAGAGAAAUUGUACUAAAGAUGAAGAGCAUGCCUGUUGAGCCUUGUGAAACAUGUUUUGCCAACUAUUCAUUAUCUAUACGAUUUCUACGGUGACUCUGUCAACUCCCUUUGUCGUUUGGCUAUAACGAGACUCGAUGAGUACGAGGUCUCAAAGACGGAAGCAAAUCAUCAGCUCUCAAUUGAUAUCGUGCACAUCCUACAAAAUGAAUGCUCUUAUCUCUUUCAAGUGAUUUCUCUCUCACAUUGCAUGACAUUCACGUGCUCGAACAUUGAUUCCUUUUUUUUAGUUUCGCGACAUCUCAAAAAGAAUACUACAAUACUUAUAGUACUAGAAUACCUAUUUGUUACUGGAAUAUACAUAUAUGCCGGAAAUAUUUGAUCUAUCUAUAUUUAUCCUGAUUUAUUUAUCGGACAUAUACGUAAAAAUGAGUGAGUGAGUGAGUGAGUGAGUGAAUGAGUGAGAAAGAGAGAGAGAAAGAGAAAGAGAGAGAUCCUGAAAAUUGUAAAACUUAAAAUAUUAUAUCAGAUUUUCUAUUUGGUACAAAUUUUUAUGCUAAAUAAUAUUAAAAAUUGUAGCUUGAUAUAUAAGGGAUUUAUUAUCAGAUGUUCAUAUUAAUUUGUAUAUCCUUUGUUAAUAGAAAUAAUAAAAAAUAUGAUUAAGAAAGA